rnacentral:rRNA from 1 species
AACGAACGCUGGCGGCAGGCCUAACACAUGCAAGUCGAGCGAAGCCUUCGGGCUUAGCGGCGGACGGGUGAGUAACGCGUGGGAACGUGCCCUUUGCUACGGAAUAGCCCCGGGAAACUGGGAGUAAUACCGUAUGUGCCCUUCGGGGGAAAGAUUUAUCGGCAAAGGAUCGGCCCGCGUUGGAUUAGGUAGUUGGUGGGGUAAUGGCCUACCAAGCCGACGAUCCAUAGCUGGUUUGAGAGGAUGAUCAGCCACACUGGGACUGAGACACGGUCCAGACUCCUACGGGAGGCAGCAGUGGAGAAUCUUAGAAAAUGGGGGAAACCAUGAUCUAGCCAUGCCGCGUGAUCGAUGAAAGCAUUAGGGAUGUAAAGAUCUGUCAGUGGGGAAGAUAAUGACUGUACCCACAGAAGAAGCCCCGGCUAACUCCGUGCCAGCCGCCGCAGUAAAAC